rnacentral:rRNA from 1 species
CCUACGGGCGGCAGCAGUGAGGAAUAUUGGUCAAUGGACGAGAGUCUGAACCAGCCAAGUAGCGUGAAGGAUGACUGCCCUAUGGGUUGUAAACUUCUUUUAUAUGGGAAUAACAUGUUCCACGUGUGGGAUUUUGUAUGUACCAUAUGAAUAAGGAUCGGCUAACUCCGUGCCAGCAGCCGCGGUAAUACGGAGGAUCCGAGCGUUAUCCGGAUUUAUUGGGUUUAAAGGGAGCGUAGGUGGAUUGUUAAGUCAGUUGUGAAAGUUUGCGGCUCAACCGUAAGAUUGCAGUUGAAACUGGAAGUCUUGAGUACAGUAGAGGUGGGCGGAAUUCGUGGUGUAGCGGUGAAAUGCUUAGAUAUCACGAAGAACUCCGAUUGCGAAGGCAGCUCACUGGACUGCAACUGACACUGAGGCUCGAAAGUGUGGGUAUCAAACAGGAUUAGAUACCCUGGUAGUC